rnacentral:rRNA from 1 species
UGGGGAAUCUUGCGCAAUGGGCGAAAGCCUGACGCAGCCAUGCCGCGUGAAUGAUGAAGGUCUUAGGAUUGUAAAGUUCUUUCGCUCGUGACGAUGAUGACGGUAACGAGAGAAGAAGCCCCGGCUAACUUCGUGCCAGCAGCCGCGGUAAUACGAAGGGGGCUAGCGUUGUUCGGAAUUACUGGGCGUAAAGCGCGCGUAGGCGGCUUUGCAAGCCAGAGGUGAAAUGCCUGAGCUCAACUUAGGAAUUGCCUUUGGGACUGCGAGGCUUCGAGGACUGGAGAGGUGAGUGGAAUUCCCAGUGUAGAGGUGAAAUGCGUAGAUAUGUGGAGGAAUACCGAUGGCGAAGGCAGCCCCCUGGGAUAACACUGACGCUCAUGCACGAAAGCGUGGGGAGCAAACAGGAUUAGAUACCCAUGUAGUCCCUGAGCGGGCUGGCAAGGCGCAU